rnacentral:rRNA from 1 species
UACGGGGGGGGCAAGCGUUGUUCGGAAUUCCUGGGCGUAAAGGGCUCGUAGGCGGCCAACUAAGUCAGACGUGAAAUCCCUCGGCUUAACCGGGGAACUGCGUCUGAUACUGGAUGGCUUGAGUUCGGGAGAGGGAUGCGGAAUUCCAGGUGUAGCGGUGAAAUGCGUAGAUAUCUGGAGGAACACCGGUGGCGAAGGCGGCAUCCUGGACCGACACUGACGCUGAGGAGCGAAAGCGUGGGGAGCAAACGGG